UUUUUUCUUUUUCUUUUUUUUUUUUGUUUGUUUAGAGGCUGGGUCUUGCUUUAUCAUCCAGGCUGGAGUGCAGUGGUGCAAUCACAGCUCACUGCAGCCUCAAACUCCUGGGCUCAAGUGAUCCCCCGUUCUCAGCUUCCUGAGUAGCUGGAACUACAGGCACGUGCCCACCACGUCCAGCUUUCCCCUGGAGAUUCCGACCAUGGAACCUGAGGGUGCCAGGCAAAACAUUUCCCCAAACCUAGUCAGUCCAUUACCCUCCAAACCCUGAGCUUCUACAGGCUCAGAGAGGAGGAGUUGAAGAUCCCCAGGGUCUUUAUUGCGCAGCGCUCGACCCCGGGUGAGAGGGUUGCUGAGCAGGCCGGCAGGCGAGGAAAAACCAAACAAAACAAAGCAAAACACCUCCCUGCUUCCCUACAUGGAUUGUGAAUAGAAGGAGCUGCAUAAAAUCAAAGGAGUGGCACGUUGCAAGAGUAUCACGUGAAUCCAGAGGAGGGCUGAAGAGAUAUUUCACGCAGCCCCUGGAGAGAAGAUAGGCCUUCCCUAGCAGAGGUCAGAGGAGAGAAGGUCACAAACACGGUAUGACGGGCCCCAGGAGGCUAGGCCUGCUCUCAGCAUUGACCCUAAGUCACUCCAUGUCUGUGGAUAAACCAUCUCCCUUCUCAGUCCCCAGAAAACAAGGGACUAGCCGAAUGAGCCCAGAAUGCCUCCUCACCCACAUAUCCUGCCUCUUUUAGUCUGUGGUUCUCAGGGAAGACAUGCAAACAAGAUAAGGUGUGAUAUAUUUGUGCUACCACCAGCCACGUUCUCUCCAUUAGCACACAGCCUGGGCAUGUGGUCUGUGCCAAACUCACACAGUCAUGACCCCAAAAUCAGUGCCAGUGGCAAAGGCAGGCCACAGGAACAGGAGCAUGGAGCCCCCAGGAAAGAGCAAGGGGUUAGGCUCAGCCCUCCACCUUGUCAGGUCCCCUGAACACCAUGUAGAGGCAGAUGGCAAGACCAGGACCCCUUCACUGGGCCUCAGGUCAGAGGCAGAACUGGACAUGGCUGCCCAUGGCCCUCCCUGGAAGGCUGGUGGAGGUGGGCUCCCGGAAUGGGAACUGGUGCAUCCCUGAGGCAGCUUUGGUGAGGCUGUGGGGAAUGACAGCCAGAUGUCCGUGAGGAACAUCUGGCAUCUGGUGCAGCCUUCCCAAGUACAAAACCAGCCAUGAAUCAGAGCUGUCCCUGCGCACAGGGCUGAGGCCUGGAGAAGGCAAGUGAGGGGGUAUAGCACACAAUCUAGAGGUUGCGCCACCCCCACACACACACACUUACUCUCCUCCUUCCAGGGCACCCACUGGGGCGCUGUACCUCCCAUUGUAGACUGAGGUCACCUCUGAGGAUCUGCAGGCAAAGGGGCGAGGCCUCCCAGCUUUGCAUCCCUGCAUGGCUGAGCCACUACUGUAUCCUGGGCUCUGCUACCCCUGCCAUGCCCAUCCCCACACCCUGAGUGUGAAGCAACGGUGGCUGUAGGCCUUCACCUUCAGCUCCUCCAAGCAGCUCCCCUUCCAUUUCCCCCUGGACGACUGAGAACAAGCUGCUCAUUCUUUCCAUCUUCCGUUUCCUCAUCAGACCAUUACUAUGUGCUGUGCUCUCUGAUCAGUUAUCUGCUCA
rnacentral:lncRNA from 1 species